UACCCUUUUGCUGCUCAACACCAUUUUUAUUGGAAAGGAUUUACCCACUGUGCAAUAGUGAGACUGAAAUGGUGUGUGUGGUCCCCUCCCAGAGCUGCUUCCUGCCCCACAAAGGACAUGGACUUCACUGUGCCAGAGUGUCCUCCCUGACAGAUCCUUGUCCUGAAGAGUAACAAGAAAUAAAAUCUUUGAGAAUGAAGGGGAAAAAAAGGAAGACAAGCCCGAGAUUGAAUUCUUCUGGAGCAGCUUCCAUCUCCAGAAGAGGUUCACUUUGAGAAUAACCCCAUGUUACAGCGCCCACAAUGCCCUGGGAUCUCUCUGAGGAGGUGACUCUAGCAGAAAGAAGGACAUUGCCUUUGCCAUUCCCAUUGGCUAAAAUGCUGGAAAGAUUUUGGCAAGACCUGG